rnacentral:rRNA from 1 species
UGCGUAGGCGGAUUAAUAAGUCAGUGGUGAAAUCUUUCGGCUCAACCGAGAAACUGCCAUUGAUACUGUUAAUCUUGAGUUCGGUUGAGGUAGGCGGAAUGUGUAAUGUAGCGGUGAAAUGCUUAGAUAUUACACAGAACACCAAUUGCGUAGGCAGCUUACUAGACCGACACUGACGCUGAGGCACGAAAGCGUGGGGAGCGAACAGGAUUAGAUACCCUGGUAGUCC